UUCAUAAAAAAUCCUUAAAUGAGGAAUGAUCAGCUUAUUAGCUAAUCCACUGUUUAGGCUUAAUAAGCCGUUGAUAAGAACCAUGAUUUAUAAACGUUUAUUAGGGGUUUCUUAACUAAUAAGCAGAUUAGACCCGUUAUGUUGGCAUCUUGGCACAUCAUAGACAAAAAUAUGGCUGAACAUUAAUUAAAAAAAAAAGUUUGACAGCAGCACUAGCGGUAAAUCAUAAAAUCCUGAACAAUACGAUGCACAAUUUUGACCAGUUUUCUGGGUUAUUAUAUAUUAAAAUAGCCUCUGCAUCACAAAAACAAAUAAAUAAUAUUGCACGGCCGGAAGUUUUACGAAACUCGGUAAGCAACCACCUAUAUCAUAGUCUGAUAAUCAGAUAUGUUACGAGUAAAGUUCAUUGCAAGAUUUGCAAGCAAUAUUGAUAAAACUAUGUGUUAUUGCUUAUAGUUUCAAUAUAUUGUGGAAUGAGGGAAAGAGGGCAGUUGCACAUCUCAAGUCAAGAAUUCUGCCUGCGCGCCAUCGCCACCGUAAUACCACGGAUUCCAACACAUUUUGUUCUGGUGGCGAAACACAAACGAUAUUGACACUAUUCAUAUCAAAUGAUCGGUGAAGAUAAAUCAGGUUGUGAGUAUUCCAUCAUCAGCUAUUUGUCCGGAGCUGGCUACACAAUCCGGAGGCCACACUCUUCUGGCAUCUAACCGGCCUGCACACCGCCAUCAAAUGAAGUUGGUUGUACUGAAAUAAAGAAAAAAUAUUAACUAGUUUAAUGAUUGUCAAAUGUAAUAAAAUUGUUUUAUUUAAGUGGGUUGUUUGAUUUCCCUAAAUUAACACAUGAAAUAUGUUGAUAUGUUAUAAUAAAAAUCUCAGUUAAAAACUCA